AUAGAACUAUGUUCAGUUUCUCAUUACUUCUAGCAAAUUGGCAAAUUAUACUAAGGGAGUAGAGGUAGAGUUGAGUUCAUGUACAACAAUAUAGAAAUCAGCUAAAGUGGAUCAGAGCAGGAAGUUUUACAAUUCAGGGAAAGGUUAAGAUAGAAAGGGAUCCUUUCCCCCAAUCAAGAAAGACAGCCUUGGACCACCAGUUAGAGAAUCCCCCAAUUUUCUCUCUGCCAUAAGUCACUGAAACUGAGAGCUAAGGCAGGGCCUCUGUGAGUCAUGAGCACUUAAUCCAGCGGGAGACCUCAGAACAGGAUAUUUCCUUUUUUGAGAUUCCCUGUCAUACCAGUUAUGGAUAAAUUUGCAUUUUGGAUGGGACAUUACUGGACCAGCCCAUUUUAGGCAGUUCCGUUUCCCCCUGGGUGGGGCAGCAGGCCCUGUGAAGAGGUUCUCAGCCUCAUGACUCCUAAACUCCUGGUACUUGAGCACCGAUCUGCUUUGGAGAACCUGGUGAGUCUGCUUACUUGAAUUUCUCUGUUCUUUGGGCCCUCAAAAGUUGAAUUUAAUCUGAAGACAGAAAGUAUGGUUGAUCCAAACCUCUGAUGACAGUUUUGACACUACUUAGUGGAUGGAACCUUAGGAUUAGAUCAUAAUGACACAUUGUUUUAGCUUUUUUUUGUAAGUAGCUUGGUGUUCAUAUGAACAGCGAAGUUAAUAGGAAGGCUUUGAUUUGAGGAAGAGAUUCUGAGACUCCAGCAGGAUGUCUUAUCAACAGUAGCAAUGUAAGCAGCCCUGCCAGCCACCUCCUGUGUGCCGCCUGCCAAAGCGUCCAGAGCCAUGUCCACCCCUGAAGUGCCCUGAGCCCUGCCCACCACCAAAGUGUCCACAGCCCUGCCCACCUCAGCAGUGCCAGCAGAAAUAUCCUCUGGUGACACCUUCCCCACCCUGCCAGCCAAAGUGUCCACCCAAGAGCAAGUAACAGCUUCGGAAUUCAUCAGGACCACGAAAGGAUAGGGAUAAUUGGCUCACCUCGUUCCACAGCUCCACCUGCAUCUUCUCAUCAAAGCCAUCCAGGGAUACACAGGGAGCUUCUUUCCCCUUAGCCUGUGAUCUGCCCAUGAUGAUCCCCGACAGCAAAAUGUUUCCUUUCUGAGGCUGCCAUGCUGCCACUGUCCAGGUGGAGACUGAGCAAAGGAAGUCCUGGGCUGUGCCAGCUCCCAGAGCUUCAGAAGAAAGAGCAGCUCUCUCCCUGGGAACCAUUAGAGAAUUCUGUUGAUGUUUUCUGUGUCUGUCUGUCCCCUGGGCAUGAGCUUCCACCACCUGUGCAGUUGUCACUUUCCUUUCACUCCCUGAAUAAAGAAUCUAUGCAUAUAUAUUUGUGAAUGGAUCUUUUGUUUCUUUUCAAAUAUGCUUUAUUAGCAAUAUUUUAUAAUCAUUUGGGUAUAUUUCCACUUUUCUUUCAUCCACAGACAGGAUCUCACAAUUUGGGACAUAUCAAAGAUUAUUU
rnacentral:lncRNA from 1 species